rnacentral:tRNA from 1 species
GCGUAAUGGUGCGCAAAAGUGAUCGCGAGACUUCUAAUCUUGAGGCCGCUGGUUCGAAUCCAGCCGGGCGCACCA